rnacentral:ncRNA from 1 species
AGAUAGUCCUCGUGCCAAACCAAGGUAGAAGUCACAACCAAACAGUCGUGUCUUUAAUUGGUACGUGCGGAAUUGAUGUUCCAAGGGGGCGGUGAUUGACGCUUGAAUUAAUCCUAUACUAGGAACCGUGAGAUUAAGCCAUCGCGGCAGGUGCUCACGUUAAGCCCACUGACUUUCAUGUCCCUAUCUACUAUCUAGCGAAACCACAGCCAAGGGAACGGGCUUGGAAGAUAAUCUAAUCUGGCAGUGUAAGGAGACAUAAGAGGUGUAGAAUAAGUGGGAGAUAUUAGACUUCGGUUUGGUAUCGACAAUGAAAUACCACUACUCUUAUUGUUUCCUUACUUACUUGAUUAAAUGGAACGUGUAUCAUUUCCUAGCCAUUAUACGGAUAUAAUUAUUAUGUCUUAUGGUAUUGGGUUUUGAUGCAAGCUUCUUGAUCAAAGUAUCACGAGUUUGUUAUAUAAUCGCAAACAAAUUCUUUAAUGAGAGAAUGCAUUUAUGUAUUAUUGAUUUAAAAAUUUGGUAUAACUCCAAUUACUCAGGUAUGAUCCAAUUCAAGGACAUUGCCAGGUAGGGAGUUUGACUGGGGCGGUACAUCUCUCAAAUAAUAACGGAGGUGUCCCAAGGCCAGCUCAGUGCGGACAGAAACCACACAUAGAGCAAAAGGGCAAAUGCUGACUUGAUCUCGGUGUUCAGUACACACAGGGACAGCAAAAGCUUGGCCUAUC